rfam:Neosartorya fischeri NRRL 181 1099437636265 genomic scaffold, whole genome shotgun sequence.
UCCUCGAUGGUCUAACGGUCAUGAUUUCCGCUUGUCACUCUCCAAUGAGAACAAGCGCGGGAGACCAGGGUUCGACUCCCUGUCGGGGAG